AUUGAACGCUGGCGGCAGGCCUAACACAUGCAAGUCGAACGAGUGGCGGACGGGUGAGUAAUGUCUGGGAAACUGCCCGAUGGAGGGGGAUACCUACUGGAAACGGUAGCUAAUACCGCAUACCAUCGGAUGUGCCCAGAUGGGAUGAGCUUGUAGGUGAGGUAACGGCUCACCUAGGCGACGAUCCCUAGCUGGUCGGAGAGGAUGACCAGCCACAAGGGAAUUGAGACACGGUCCAGACUCCGACGGGAGGCAGAAGUGGUGAAUAUUGAACAAUGGGCGCAAGCCGGAUGCAGCCAGGCCGCGGGGAUGAGGAAGGCCUUCGGGUUGUAAAGUACUUUCAGCGGGGAGGCGUGACCCGCAGAAGAAGCACCGGCUAACUCCGUGCCAGCCGCCGCGGUAAUUC
rnacentral:rRNA from 1 species